rnacentral:tRNA from 2 species
GAUGGUGUAGCUCAGUGGUAGAGCGGUUGACUGUUAAUCAACGGAUCGGUGGUUCAAAUCCGCCCACCUCGCCA